AAUAAUUUGUAUGUAAACAACUCAUAUUAAAUAUAGUUGCACAGAUAAUUGUUGCAGGUGUGUCAGAGACAUACAGGGUGGUUUUAUUACUUAAGGGUGCUGCCUGGGUUAAAUGAAUACUUUCUGUCGCACUGGAGUUGGGGACCAACACUGUUCACGGUGCUCAGAUUGGCUUCUCACGUCUCGCAGGAUGCAAUUUGACCUGGGAGGUACCCGCUCCUGGUAACAAUGGGCUGGCUGUGGGCACCUCUGCUGUCUCACCGGACACAAGAGGGUGUCCACCUGAUCUGCACGGGGCCCCUCCGAGAAGGACGGGAGGCUUGUGGGGUCUAACAGGAUAAGGUUCAGUUUCUCUAGGUUAGCGACACUGCCCAGCUUGGGUCUUGUUAUGAGCUGUUUCUCCAGUCAGACACUUGUGUGUGCGAGUUAUCUUGAUUUUUUUUUUUUUAAAGUGGUUAUUUGAUUAUCUUUCCCUCCAGGAGUUGCAGGCACUUACUAUCUUCAGCUUGUCCAUUCAGGUCUGUAACCUGUAAAUUUUGGAGGCCUUUUGGUAUAAAUUCUGGUAACAAAGGUAGGGGAAGAAAGGAAGUGACUUGAUGACAAUUUCAAAUGAUCCUGGACUGGUUAGGGUGGGCGUGACCGCAGUAACAGAUCCAAACGUGACGACCUCAAUCCAAGCUUGUUUCUCAAUCCCAUAACAGUCUUGGGGGUGUUGCAGGUUGUGUGUGUGUGUGAGUGUGUGUUGUAGGGGAGGAGCAGUGCUCUUUAAAGCAGUUAUCUGAGGACCCAGGCUGCUGGAGAGUCUUCCUUUUUGAACGUGUGGCCUCUAAGAUUCCCUGGGGUCACCUUCCCAUUCCCUAGACGGGAGCAGAGGACGGAGGAAGGAGCAGGCUUUUACGGGCCAUGCCUGCAAGAGGCGCACAUCCCUGCAUGCACAACGUGGGGCCUCCAGCCACCAGCACGACCGGGAAGCGUGGACCAGCUGUGUACCGAGCAGGAUGGGAGCCAACCGUCUUCGCCACAAAACCAGGAGCACUCCAUUUUGUUUUGUGUGACUUGUUUUAUAAAUUGUCUUGCAAUCAAGAAGAUGACAAAAUGAAGCCAGGAGGCUUACAACAGAAUUGAGGAGUCAUAGCACGUACUUUAGGCGUCGGAGUAGCUGUUAUUUUGCAGAGUGGUUGUGCUAAGUGCUGUGAGGAAGAAGCUGAUGAGACACGCUCCCUGCCUUUUUGGAGCUGGUGGUCUCGUACAGGUUUGGUGAUGCUUGUUCCAGGGGAGCUGAGGAGCGUGUGCCUGACUGGGGGCGGGGGUGGGAGGGACAGUUAUCAUCAUCGAGUUGAAGAGAUUGGUGGUUGGCAGAGGGCCAGACUCCAGGUGAUGGGCACUUGGGAGUCAGAUGCGAGGACCAGGACCUGUACGUGCAGUGCCAGUGGUCUGCUGGGUGGGGGGCUUUAGAAAGGAGGCCCGGGGUGGGGGCGGUAUCCGUGAGGCGUCUCGCUGUGAGGGGGCCAUCACAGAAAAGGCAGCAUGGGAAUGGGCAAAAUUCCUCGUGACAAAAUGGUUUUCAUACUUUCCCAGUGUUUUCCUGUCCUGACAUCUGGGAGAUGUGACACAUUUCUGUUAGUCCCUGUGGUAGACUCUCCAAGGGUCCGGACACCCACUGGCCUGGAGACGAUUCUGCUGGGCACCUCUGCAGCCUCACGUAGUUUGGAAAGCCCGCGAGUGGUGGUCCUCUCCCUCCAUCCCUUUAACGUGAGACGGUUUAAGCGGAAGCAUCUUACAGCCAUCGACUGCCAACACCUGGCUCGGAGUCACUUGGCCGUGACCCAGGCCUUCGGUCAAAGAUGGACAAACAGAGACCCGAACCACGGUCUCUAUCCUAGACCCAGAACCAAAAGCGGGACUAGGGGUCGAGGAUGCCCGGGAUACGGCCCUGAGCUCUCCCUCGCUGGCCAGCAGCGGCGCCCCAAUGACAUGGCCAGAAGCAAUUCUGUGGGCCAGGACAGCUCUAAGGACUCGGAGGACGAGAUGAUCUUUGCUGCAGAGAGCCACUGCGCCCUGUCUCAGGGAGGUGAUGGAGCGGCAUGGCCAUGCUCGUCAGGGGCUGCUCCACCUGCGCGGAAGCGGUCUUGGUCCUUCGAAGAUGAGAGGAGUCAAGCCACGGGGACCAGUCAGUGGGACGGGGUUUCUAGGAAGACCCCUCGGCAUCAUCCUUCCCUGUCCUGCACACGGCCCAGGGAAGGCAGGCAGGAAGUAGAGGACGGUGUGUCUCGGCUCUCUGCGCAGCCUGGAGAACCCAGCCAGGAGGUGGAGGACAUUGGUCCUGAUCCCAUCCCUGACUCCUGCUACGGGCUUCUCGGGGCCUUGCCCUGCUGGGAGCCCCAGAGCCACAUCUGCAGCCUGCCCAGUGAGGUCCUGAGGCACAUCUUUGCAUUCCUCCCUGUGGAAGACCUCUACUGGAACCUGAGCUUGGUGUGCCACCUCUGGAGGGAGAUAAUCAGCGAUCCACUGUUCAUUCCUUGGAAAAAGCUGUAUCACCGAUACCUGAUGAAUGAAGAGCAAGCUGUCAGCAAAGUGGAUGGCAUCCUGUCGAGCUACGGCAUAGAGAAGGAGUCAGACCUGUGCGUGCUGAAUCUCAUCCGCUACACAGCCACCACUAAGUGCUCCCCGAGUGUGGACCCCGGACGGGCGUUGUGGAGUCUCAGGGACCACCUCCUCCUCCCCGAGGCAGAGGCCUGCGUGCGCCAGCACCUCCCCGAUCUCUACGCUGCCCCUGCCGGCGUCAACGUGUGGGCCUUGGUGGCGGCCAUCGUCCUCCUGUCCAGCAGCGUCCGCGACAUCCAGCAGCUGCUCUUCUGCCUCCGGCGGCCCGGCUCCACCGUGACCGUGCCGGACAUCACCGAGACCCUGUACUGCAUCGCCGUGCUGCUCUACGCCAUGCGGGAAAAGGGGGUCAACAUCAGCAACCGGAUUCACUACAACAUUUUAUAUUGCCUGUAUCUUCAGGAGAAUUCCUGUGCUCAGCCCACAGAAGUCAAAGCAGAACCAUCCGUCUGGCCAGGCAGGAAGACAGCCAUCCAGCUGACACACGAGCAACGGCUGAUCCUAAGCCACAAGAUGGAACCUCUCCAGGUGGUGAAAAUUAUGGCGUUUGCAGGCACUGGUAAGACCUCCACCCUGGUCAAGUACGCCGAGAAGUGGUCCGAGAGCAGGUUUCUGUACGUGACCUUCAACAAGAGCAUUGCCAAGCAGGCCGAGCUAGUCUUCCCCAGCAACGUCAUCUGCAAGACCUUCCAUUCCAUGGCCUAUGGACACAUUGGGCGCAAGUACCAAUUGAAGAAGAAGUUGAAUCUCUUCAAGUUAACCCCCUUCAUGGUCAACUCUGUCCUCGCUGAAGGCAAGGGUGGCUUCAUAAGGGCCAAGCUAGUGUGUAAGACCCUGGAAAACUUCUUUGCCUCGGCUGACGAGGAGCUGACGAUUGACCACGUGCCCAUCUGGUGUAAGAACAGCCAGGGGCAGAGAGUCAUGGUCGAGCAGGGUGAGAAGCUGAAUGGUGUCCUUGAGGCGAGCCGGCUCUGGGACAACAUGCGGAAGCUGGGCGAGUGCAAGGAGGAGGCUUACCACAUGACACAUGAUGGAUACUUGAAACUCUGGCAGCUCAGCAAGCCUCUGCUGGCCUCUUUUGAUGCCAUCUUUGUGGACGAGGCGCAGGACUGUACCCCAGCAAUCAUGAACAUAGUUCUGUCUCAGCCAUGUGGGAAGAUCUUCGUGGGGGACCCCCACCAGCAGAUCUACACCUUCCGCGGCGCAGUCAAUGCUCUGUUCACCGUGCCUCACACGCACGUCUUCUAUCUCACACAGAGUUUUAGGUUUGGUGUGGAAAUUGCCUAUGUGGGAGCUACGAUCUUGGACGUCUGCAAGCGAGUAAGAAAGAAGACUUUGGUUGGAGGCAACCAUCAGAGUGGCAUUCGAGGUGACACGAAGGGGCAGGUGGCCCUGCUGUCCCGGACCAACGCCAACGUGUUUGACGAGGCCGUCCGGGUGACGGAAGGAGAGGUGCCUGCCCGGAUACACCUGAUUGGGGGAAUUAGAUCCUUCGGAUUGGACAGAAUCAUUGAUAUUUGGACGCUUCUUCAGCCGGAGGAAGAACGGAAGAGACGAAACCUCGUCAUUAAAGACAGGUUCAUCAGCAGGUGGGCGCACAGUGAGGGCUUCAGCGGCUUCAAGCGGUACGUGACCGCAGCCGAGGACAAGGAGCUGGAAGCCAAGAUCGCGGUCGUGGAGAAGUACAACAUCCGCAUUCCAGAGCUGGUGGAGAGGAUAGAGAGGUGCCACAUAGAGGACUUGGACUUCGCAGAGUACAUCCUGGGCACCGUGCACAAGGCCAAGGGCCUGGAGUUCGACACCGUGCACGUCCUGGACGAUUUCGUGAAAGUGCCGUGUGCCAGGCACAACCUCGCUCAGCUGCCCCACUUCAGAGUCGAGUCGUUUUCUGAGGACGAGUGGAAUUUACUGUAUGUAGCAGUGACUCGUGCCAAGAAGCGUCUCAUCAUGACCAAGUCGUUGGAGAACAUUUUGACUUUGGCUGGGGAGUACUUCUUGCAAGCAGAGCUGACGAGCGACGUCUUGAAGGCGGGUGGGGUCCGCUGCUGCGUGGCGCAGUGCAGCAACGCCAUCCCCGUGGAUGCCGUGCUCACCAUGCGGAAGCUGCCCAUCACCUACAGCAACAGGAAGGAAAACAAGGGCGGCUACCUGUGCCACUCGUGCGUGGAGCAGCGCAUCGGGCCUCUGGCCUUCCUGACCGCCUCCCCUGCACAGGUGCGCGCCAUGGACCGCACCGUGGAGAACAUCGUGCUGCCCCGGCACGAGGCCCUGCUCUUCCUCGUCUUCUGAGGCGCUCCUCGGCCAGGAUGCUGGGCAGACGCCUGCCCCUGUGGACGGCGGUGUAGGGGCUCCCUUCCCGCGACUGGACUCGCUCACGGAGCAUUUUCAGAGGAAGACGGAGCCGGCCGGAGCUGGACCUGCCAUGUCUCCACCUCUGGAGCACUUCAGGGAUGCAGAUGGCAGGUGAGGGCAUUGCCCAGAGAGUUCACCGGCUCUAGAGUCUGAGCCCAGUCAGCGGAGUGGAGAGCAGACCCCUAACCUCUCCCACGUCAGGCCUCUAGUGGAGCUUAGCGAGCCGGCCGGUGAGUAAAGCAGGGGUGCUGUUGGAUCGGGCUGGGUGCUUGGAAAGGGCAAGGGCCGCGUUAACGUCUGCACGUGGCCGAGAGGUCGCAGCGCGGGCCCCAAGGGCGCAGGUGGGACGGGGCGCUUUCCUCCACUCCUCUGGCCUGGCCUGGCCUGGCCUCAUGCAGUGCUUUUGGUUAACUUGGAACAAAAUAGCAUGUGAAAGGAAACUGGAUUUGGAGGUCACGGUGCUUAGAGUCGUUCAAAAGAGGGACGUGGAGGGGUGGGUGGCAGGCGGGGCCUGUGAACGUGUUUUCUGGAAAUCUGCUUUUAGCAGCCAGAGAGGAGGCAGCUUAUUGGGAGAAGUUGUGAAUUCUCUAGGCCUGUUGUGGGGCAGGGCCCUGGUCGUGGACGUCUGGAAUUAACUGUGGUCCUAACUUGGAGGUGGUAGUAAGAAGUGUGAUGCGGUGUGGGGUGUUGGAGGCGGGCCGCACAGGUGUGGGGUGGGGGGCGUCCGGAGAGGGGGCCGCACUGCUGCCCUGGGGCGGGAGGGGUGUCUCUAUCAGAGGAGAGGUCAGAGAACCUUCGAAGCGGGAGGUGCUGGAGCUGUGUUUAAUAACGGGGUGAGUCGUUAGCUAUUAAAGAAGAGAAGAAUAUUCUAGAAAGAAGGACCAGCACGAAGGUGUUUGUGGUCACGGCACCACCAGGGCAAAACGUCAGCACUAGUAUUUUGGUACUUAUUUAAAAAAUAAUAGGAUCCAGGGAUUGAUACUGGUACUUUAUUUUUUAAGCGUUAAGAAUUUUAAAAAUCAGUAAAAUCAAAUGGUGUGUUUCAAAUAGAAAAACAGUUUUUAAAUACACAGUAAAAAUAGAAAUGUUAUUUAUUUUAGUUUCUUAAGGAAAU